AUACGUAGGGAGCGAGCGUUGUCCGGAUUUACUGGGUGUAAAGGGUGCGUAGGCGGCUCUGCAAGUCAGGUGUGAAAACCAUCGGCUUAACUGAUGGACUGCAUUUGAAACUGUGGGGCUUGAGUGGAGUAGAGGCAGACGGAAUUCCCGGUGUAGCGGUGAGAUGCGUAGAGAUCGGGAAGAACACCAGUGGCGAAGGCGGUUUGCUGGGCUCUAACUGACGCUGAGGCACGAAAGCAUGGGUAGCAAACAGGAUUAGAUACCCUGGUAGUCCAUGCCAUAAACGAUGAUUACUAGGUGUGGGGAGUCUGACCCUCCCCGUGCCGGAGUUAACACAAUAAGUAAUCCACCCGGGAAGUACGACCGCAAGGUUGAA
rnacentral:rRNA from 1 species